ensembl:lncRNA
AGUCAACCCAGAGGAAGUUGUGGUGUCCCAGAAGAUUUGUUGGGUAAAGCGUGGUCUUUCAAGGGUCAUGGCCUUAAGAGGCAAAAGUUUUUACUAUGUACCACUCAUUCAAAGUCUUAAGCAGUUACUGACCAAUCCCAGAAUCUUCACCAUGUUAACCACUGUACCACAAAGAAGUGAGGGAUUCUUGUAUGAUUUUACUGAUGGAGCCCUUUUUACAUCCCAUCCAUUAUAUUCUCAAAGGCCAAAUGCAUUGCAAAUACUAUUGUACACCGAUGAAAUUGAAAUAUGUAACCCUUUAGGCGCCCAUGCCUCUGCAAAUAAAUUACUGAUGUUUUAUUAUAGUUUAGGGAAUAUAGAUCCAAAAUUUAGGUCGAAGUUGGCUGCAAUAAGACUCCUGGCUAUUGCCAAGGCAAACAAUAUUUCUCAGUGGGGUGUUGAUGUUAUACUAAAAAGAAUCCAAAAAGAUCUGACACUUCUGUACAAUGGUGUUAGGAUUGACACCCCAAAUGGUGAAAUUGAGUUGUUUGGUGCUGUGAUCGCCAUAUGUGGAGACACACUUGCCCAACAUGAUAUUGCUGGAUUUAAACAAGGUGUUGGUUUUGCUUAUAGCAAAUGUAGACAUUGUGAAUGCUCCUUUGAGGAUAUGCAAAGUAUUUUUGAGGAGAAUAGGUUUGCUGAAAGAACUUUGGAAAAGCACAUUAGGCAGUGUGUUGAAAUAGAUAAGGCAAGCACAGAAACAUUGAAAGCAUCCCUCAAAACCACUUAUGGGAUUAACAGAAGAAGCAGACUAGUUGAUGUUCCAGCAUUUGAUCUGAUCAAACAAACACCACAGGAUAUAAUGCAUGUAAUUUUUGAAGGUGUUGCACCAAUGGAAAUAAAGCUUGUAUUAAAAAACCUGAUUCUGUCAGGACAGAUAGAAUUAGAUGAGAUUAACUCAGCUAUUCUAAAUUUUCCUUACUCACCUCUAGACAUAAGAGAUAAGCCAUGUCCUAUUAGUGUCAGUACUUUAGCUGCUAAUGACAAUAAAUUAAAGCAGUCAUGUGGACAAAUGUUGAUACUUUUAAAAAUCCUACCUUUUCUUUUGAACGGUAUGGACAACGAGUAUGUCAAAUUUAUUCUCAAGUUAAUUGAGAUUGUUCAAAUUGUCCUUGCUCCUGUUAUUUCUUUAGAAACCGUAUUACGGCUCAGACGCAUGAUUGAGCAACAUCUGCAUCAUUUCAAAGAACUUUUCUCUGAAGCCAAUGUAAUACCCAAGCAACAUUACAUGUUACAUCUACCAAGCCAAAUCAUAUCUCUUGGUCCAUUAAUAAGAAGUAUGUGUAUGCGAUUUGAAGCUAAGCACAGUUAUUUUAAGCAGUGGGCUUCUAAGUUAAAUUUCAAAAAUGUCUGUAAAUCGCUUGCAAACCAUAACCAGUUCCUUGAAUGUUGUCAAAAUGAAAUAGGCAUUGAGCAUCCAAUUUUUGCUAGUGAAAGAGAAUCGGGGCCUGUCUCAGCUGUCAAAAAUUUUGAUUAUGUCAAGAGAAAAGUCAAAGAUUUUCUAGGCGUAGAGGUCAUGCAAUCUGUUGUCUCAGUGAAAUGACACUGAAUUUGAGUCCAGAAUUGCUGGCAUAUGAGGUGGCAGUUCCCAAUGUUGCCCAGGCUACAGAAUUUGUACAUGAACUCAUUGACUGUAUUUCUUAUUUUUCUGUUAGUUUCAAGGAACAUAUGUUUGUGCCAAUAAAAUAUAGUCUUUGUGAUAUUAUUGCCCACAGAAGUAGACAUUAAAAUGGAGGAAUGAAAGGGAAGCAUUGAUUUAUUGGGUGAUCAAGUUUGCCGGUUUCCUGGACCUGUUUUUGUUAACAAACUGUUUUGGUCAUUAAACAAUUCCAUGGACUGUAUGGUGAGUUGUGGUGAAGGCUGUAUAAUUUAUCCUCACAUUGUCUGAACAUGCUUGAAGUCAGAGCAAUAAUAAACUCUGUUUCUUUCAGAUGCUUUUUGUGUGACUCUUGAAUCAAGCAACUUGAGUUUACUGAAUCUUAAAACAAGCUUUAUUGAUGAGAAUUUGAGGGAGAGAUGUAAAAGAUCUUAAUUUAAC